rnacentral:rRNA from 1 species
ACUCCUACGGGAGGCAGCAGUAGGGAAUUUUCGCAAUGGAGGAAACUCUGACGGAGCAAUACCGCGUGUGGGAAGAAGAUUUUCGGAUUGUAAACCACUGUUGUAAGGGAAGAACGUUAUUAGUAGGAAAUGGCUAAUAAGUGACGGUACCUUACCAGAAAGGGACGGCUAACUACGUGCCAGCAGCCGCGGUAAUACGUAGGUCCCGAGCGUUAUCCGGAAUUAUUGGGCGUAAAGGGCACGUAGGCGGACAAAUAAGUUUGAUGUCAAAUAUGAUGGCUCAACCAUCAAGAGGCGUUUGAAAACUGUUUAAUCUAGAAUCUCGGAGAGGUAAGUGGAAUUCCAUGUGUAGCGGUUGGAAUGCGUAGAUAUAUGGAGGAA